rnacentral:tRNA from 1 species
GCCCCCAUGGCGUAGUGGUCACUGCACUUGCCUUGCACGCAGGAGACCCGGGUUCGAUUCCCAGCAGGGUCA